rnacentral:rRNA from 1 species
UACGUAGGGUGCGAGCGUUGUCCGGAAUUAUUGGGCGUAAAGAGCUCGUAGGCGGUUUGUUGCGUCGGCCGUGAAAACCUGCAGCUUAACUGUGGGCCUGCGGCCGAUACGGGCAGACUUGAGUUCGGUAGGGGAGACUGGAAUUCCUGGUGUAGCGGUGAAAUCCGCAGAUAUCAGGAAGAACACCCGUGGCUAAGGCGGUUCUCUAGUACGGUACUGACGCUGAGACGCGAAAGCGUGGGGAGCGAACAGG